GACGAACGCUGGCGGCGUGCUUAACACAUGCAAGUCGAACGGAAAGGCCCUGCUUUUGUGGGGUGCUCGAGUGGCGAACGGGUGAGUAACACGUGAGUAACCUGCCCUUGACUUUGGGAUAACUUCAGGAAACUGGGGCUAAUACCGGAUAGGAGCUCCUGCUGCAUGGUGGGGGUUGGAAAGUUUCGGCGGGUGGGGAUGGACUCGCGGCUUAUCAGCUUGUUGGUGGGGUAGUGGCUUACCAAGGCUUUGACGGGUAGCCGGCCUGAGAGGGUGACCGGCCACAAUGGGACUGAGGGACGGCGCAGUCUCCUACGGGAGGCAGCAGUGGGGAAUAUUGCACAAUGGGCGGAAGCCUGAUGCAGCAACGCCGGGUGCGGGAAGACCGCCUUCGGGGUGUAAACCGCUUUCGCCUGUGACGAAGCGUGAGUGACGGUAAUGGGUAAAGAAGCACCGGCUAACUACGUG
rnacentral:rRNA from 1 species